GUAGAGCAUCAGAGUUAAUUGACUCAAACAUUGAAAACUCAUAUGUUGUUUCGGAAGUAUUGCGUUGUAUGCAUGUUGGUCUCUUGUGCAUACAACAAAACCCAAACGAUAGGCCUACCAUGACCUCUGUCAUGCUAAUGCUAGAGAGUGAGAUGAGGCUGGAGGUGCCUAAAGAACCUGGUUUCUUUUAUAGUAAUAUUUCACCUGAUUCAUGUUUAAGUAGGAGUCGGAGGGAUAGAAGUUUAGCAUAUGAUGUAACCUUUUCUUCAUUUGGUCCUCGAUGAAUAUUCGUAUAUGACAUAAAUGCAUAAGAGCUACAAGCACGCCAACAAAAAGAACUGACUUUUUUCCAUUAUUCAUGUAUGCUCUGCCUGAGGAAAUUGUUAUUAUUCUUCACGUAUGUUAAAUUUCAAUUCAUUAUAAUAAAUAAAUAAGUUAUUUCCUGAUUCAGGCUUGGACAUUGUGGAAAGAAGGUAGAGCAUCAGAGUUAAUUGACUCAAACAUUGAAAACUCAUAUGUUGUUUCGGAAGUAUUGCGUUGUAUGCAUGUUGGUCUCUUGUGCAUACAACAAAACCCAAACGAUAGGCCUACCAUGACCUCUGUCAUGCUAAUGCUAGAGAGUGAGAUGAGGCUGGAGGUGCCUAAAGAACCUGGUUUCUUUUAUAGUAAUAUUUCACCUGAUUCAUGUUUAAGUAGGAGUCGGAGGGAUAGAAGUUUAGCAUAUGAUGUAACCUUUUCUUCAUUUGGUCCUCGAUGAAUAUUCGUAUAUGACAUAAAUGCAUAAGAGCUACAAGCACGCCAACAAAAAGAACUGACUUUUUUCCAUUAUUCAUGUAUGCUCUGCCUGAGGAAAUUGUUAUUAUUCUUAUGUAUAAUUCAGGUAAAAAAAUACUGCAAAAAAUAAAAAACAUGAACUCAAACCUUUUACCAAUAAAAGUGCUAGUCUUCUAGAUUUAUCCA
rnacentral:lncRNA from 1 species